rnacentral:rRNA from 1 species
UANANACCACGGUAGUCCACGCCGUAAACCGAUGAGUGCUAAGUGUUAGGGGGUUUCCGCCCCUUAGUGCUGCAGCUAACGCAUUAAGCACUCCGCCUGGGGAGUACGGCCGCAAGGCUGAAACUCAAAGGAAUUGACGGGGGCCCGCACAAGCGGUGGAGCAUGUGGUUUAAUUCGAAGCAACGCGAAGAACCUUACCAGGUCUUGACAUCCUCUGACAAUCCUAGAGAUAGGACGUUCCCCUUCGGGGGACAGAGUGACAGGUGGUGCAUGGUUGUCGUCAGCUCGUGUCGUGAGAUGUUGGGUUAAGUCCCGCAACGAGCGCAACCCUUGAUCUUAGUUGCCAGCAUUCAGUUGGGCACUCUAAGGUGACUGCCGGUAGACAAACCGGAGGAAGGUGGGGAUGACGUCAAAUCAUCAUGCCCCUUAUGACCUGGGCUACACACGUGCUACAAUGGAUGGUACAAAGGGCUGCAAGACCGCGNGGUUUAAGCCAAUCCCAUAAAACCAUUCUCAGUUCGGAUUGCAGGU